GAGUUUUGAGGCAAGAUGUCCCAAAGAGCAGCCUCAAAUGUUGAAGUUCUUCCCUUCUUCUGUUCCCUCCUGCUUCUCAAAAUGUUUAAGAAAAAAAUGUGACAGAUUUAGAAGCUAUAGGGGAGAGCCUCAAGUCCUCACCCUUCCCAUGUAACCUGUUUUCAUGACUCAGGACGCAAAGCAAAUCCUCGAACUCUGUGGAAAGGUUCUAACACUUUUUAUUUAUUCAGAAACAGCAAUAAGCAAG
rnacentral:lncRNA from 1 species